AGCGAACGCUGGCGGCAGGCCUAACACAUGCAAGUCGAGCGCCCAGCAAUGGGAGCGGCAGACGGGAUAGUAACACGUGGGAACAUGCCCUUCAGUACGGAACAACCAAGGGAAACUUUGGCUAAUACCGUAUACGCCCGUAAGGGGAAAGAUUUAUCGCUGAAGGAUUGGCCCGCGUCUGAUUAGCUAGUUGGUGGGGUAAUGGCUCACCAAGGCGACGAUCAGUAGCUGGUCUGAGAGGAUGAUCAGCAUCACUGGGACUGAGACACGGCCCAGACUCCUACGGGAGGCAGCAGUGGGGAAUAUUGGACAAUGGGCGCAAGCCUGAUCCAGCCAUGCCGCGUGAGUGAUGAAGGCCUUAGGGUUGUAAAGCUCUUUCGUCAGGGAAGAUAAUGACGGUACCUGUAGAAGAAGCCCCGGCUAACUUCGUGCCAGCCGCCGCGGUAACAC
rnacentral:rRNA from 1 species